CGCCUAAUUCGUGGUCUUCCCCGGCUCCGGGACGGAUUAAGGGGAUUCUGGAGAGGAGCCUGAACGGCUACUACAUCUACGGAAGGCAGCAGGCGCGUAAUUACCCAAUCCUGACUCAGUAGGUGGUGACAAGAUAUAACAACGCAAUUUCAUUGUGAUUGUAGUGAGGGUAUUCCUCUCCGUACCACUAGUACGAUUAGAGGGCAAGUCUGGUGCCAGCAGCCGCGGUAAUUCCAGCUCUAAUAGCGUAUAUUAAAGUUGCUGCAGUUAAAAGCUCGUAGUUGGAUUUCAGGAUUGUGUACUCUCUCAGAGUAUGCACCCUACUAGUCUUUGUCUCGUUACUGUGAGAAAAUUAGAGUGUUUAAGCAGCUAUUGCAGAAUACACUAGCAUGGAAUAACGAUGUAUCUAGAAUCUUGGUUAUUCUAGGUUCGAUUAUAGAGACAGUGGGGCACAGUAUUUAAUUGAAAGAGCGAAUCUGGAUUGUAAGACUACGUAUGCGACUGCAUUUGCUUGAUGUUUCAUUAUCAGACGAAGAUAGGGGAUCACAGUACAUCACUACUGUCGUAUCUAUCUAUAACUAUGCCGACUACGGAUGAUGAACAUCACAUUUCAGUCCUUAUGAAAUCAAGCUUGGGUCUGGGGGAGUUGCCGCAGCUGAACCUUAAGAACUUGACGUGACCACAGAUUGGGCUGCGCUUAUCUGA
rnacentral:rRNA from 1 species